rnacentral:rRNA from 1 species
GAAUUCACUAGUGAUUCAGGCCUAACACAUGCAAGUCGAGCGAUUCUCUUGGGAGAAGAGCGGCGGACGGGUGAGUAACGCGUGGGUAACCUGCCCUGUACACACGGAUAACAUACCGAAAGGUAUGCUAAUACGAGAUAAUAUGCUUUUAUCGCAUGGUAGAAGUAUCAAAGCUCCGGCGGUACAGGAUGGACCCGCGUCUGAUUAGCUAGUUGGUAAGGUAACGGCUUACCAAGGCGACGAUCAGUAGCCGACCUGAGAGGGUGAUCGGCCACAUUGGAACUGAGACACGGUCCAAACUCCUACGGGAGGCAGCAGUGGGGAAUAUUGCACAAUGGGCGAAAGCCUGAUGCAGCAACGCCGCGUGAGCGAAAGAGGCCUUCGGGUCGUAAAGCUCUGUCCUCAAGGAAGAUAAUGAC